UGACAUGUUCGAAGAGAUUCUCCAAGAGAGCAAUCCAAAUACCAGUCAGAAGACAAGCUCAACAGCUCAACAACUGGAUGCUUUUCUAUCAGAAGUCCCCAUCCCCAGGAGCAAUAACCCUCUUGGAUAUUGGAGGGCCAAUCAAGGCCGCUUUCCCCACCUGGCACAGACGGCACGAAGAUACUUGUCUGCUCCAUGCACAAGCACCGAUAGCGAGAGACUGUUUAGCGCUGCUUCUCACGUCAUCGAUGAGAAGAGGAACAGACUUUCAUGUCAAAGCAGAGAAGCUCCUUUUCAUCAAGAAGAACCUGCCACUUUUCCUGAAGUAGACUUAAUUUAGUUUAUUAAAGUUGCCUGUUAUUUAAAUACACUGUCAGAAAUAGGGCACUGCCCCAUUUGUGUUCAGCCCCCCCGGCGCCCACUUUUUUUUUUUUUUUUUUUCAAGCAGUUGUUAAUGCACUUUUUUUGUUGUGAGCAUACAGAGUAAAUGCAGUUAAUUUCUUGUUUAAGGCCGAUGUUAGGGGGGCUCAAAGAUGGCCAAAUAAAAAGUAUUUUGUUUUACUAAUUUAUUUAAGGGUAAAUUGUUCUUAAAUUAGGUCUUCUGGAAUGUUAGAAAACGUUCAGUAAAUAAAUCGUUUGUAUCAAA